GUUUUUAUAGUUGAAUCACAGCGGCAGCUUUUCGAGCUGCAGGCCUAGGUUAGAAUCCUAGUGAAAACA
rnacentral:tRNA from 2 species